AGAUGCGAGAGUAGAGCAUAUCAAUAAGCGGAGGAAAAGAAACUAACAAGGAUUCCCUUAGUAACGGCGAGUGAAGCGGGAAGAGCUCAAAUUUGAAAUCUUCAAGGUUCUACCUUGACGAAUUGUAGUUUAAAGAAGUGUUUUCUGUUAGAUGAGUAGCAAAAGUUCCUUGGAAUGGGACAUCAUAGAGGGUGAGAAUCCCGUAUUUGGUUAUUCAUUCUAGCUUUGUGAUACACUUUCAAAGAGUCGGAUUGUUUGGGAAUGCAGUCCAAAAUGGGUGGUAAAUUUCAUCUAAAGCUAAAUAUUGGCGAGAGACCGAUAGCGAACAAGUACCGUGAGGGAAAGAUGAAAAGAACUUUGAAAAGAGAGUUAAACAGUACGUGAAAUUGUCAAAAGGGAAGCGUUUGACACCAGUGUUGUUUUUCCGAAAAUCAAUUACGAAUGGCUUGAUUUUGUGUUGUAUUGACCUUAUCAGCUUUCUGCACUUUUUUCGAGUCUUUCUUAAUGCACUUUUCGGUUAACAAGUCAACAUCAAUUUCUUUUGUUGUAAAAGAGUAUUCGGAAGGUGGCUUUCUUUUCGGAGAAAGUGUUUAUAGCCCUUGAUACUUCUAGCAAUCGGAGAGAUUGAGGUCUGCAGCGUAGAUCCUUCGGGGUUAGAUACAUUUGUGCUAAGUUGUAGCUUUUCAUAGACAACUUGUUGACUAUGUUUAGUCAUGCGGCUUACUCGCUUAUGCUAUUUUACCUACGCUUAGGAUGUUGAGCGCAUGUCUCUCUCU
rnacentral:rRNA from 1 species